rnacentral:rRNA from 1 species
GUGCCUAACACAUGCAAGUCGAGCGAGGAGAUCCUUCGGGAUGAUCCUAGCGGCGGACGGGUGAGUAACACGUGGGCAACCUGCCUCAUAGAGAGGAAUAGCCUUCCGAAAGGAGAUUAAUACCUCAUAACAUUGCAGUUUCGCAUGGAACAGCAAUUAAAGGAGCAAUCCACUAUGAGAUGGGCCCGCGGCGCAUUAGCUAGUUGGUGAGGUAACGGCUCACCAAGGCGACGAUGCGUAGCCGACCUGAGAGGGUGAUCGGCCACAUUGGGACUGAGACACGGCCCAGACUCCUACGGGAGGCAGCAGUGGGGAAUAUUGCACAAUGGGGGAAACCCUGAUGCAAGCAACGCCGCGUGAGUGAUGACGGCCUUCGGGUUGUAAAGCUCUGUCUUCAGGGACGAUAAUGACGGUACCUGAGGAGGAAGCCACGGCUAACUACGUGCCAGCCGCAGC